rnacentral:rRNA from 1 species
CACGCCAUAAACGAUGUCAACUAGUUGUUGGGUUCCUUGAGGACUUAGUAACGCAGCUAACGCAUUAAGUUGACCGCCUGGGGAGUACGGCCGCAAGGUUAAAACUCAAAUGAAUUGACGGGGGCCCGCACAAGCGGUGGAGCAUGUGGUUUAAUUCGAAGCAACGCGAAGAACCUUACCUGGUCUUGACAUGUAGCGAACUCUCUAGAGAUAGAGAGGUGCCUUCGGGAACGCUAACACAGGUGC